UCCGGUGACGAUGGCGAGAAGGUCACACCCGUUCCCAUCCCGAACACGGAAGUUAAGCUUCUCAGCGCCGAUGGUAGUUGGGGGAAUCCCCUGCGAGAGUAGGACGUCGCCGGGC
rnacentral:rRNA from 1 species